GGGGAUGCGUGGUUUCGACAGGGUGCUAGGUCGAGAUGAUGCAGGCCGAGGUUGACCAGGCCUCGUUAAAUAGGGUUACGCCAGUAACUGGCACACCUGAACUUGCCCUCGCCGCCUAAGUAGCGACGACGUUCACCCUCUCCUCGGCCCGGUGGGAGUGGUGAUGAGCGACACAAUGCCGGGAUGCCGCGAGCCGGAUCGCCCGCUAGGGUUCGCGUAAGAUUAGUAGGCUAGCGUUCGGUAACCCCGUCGGUGGGGGUGCCGGGGGCGAAAUCAAAUCGCCGACUACGCCUGGAGUGCCAUCCGAUUGAACAUUUUGGACGGGGGUUCGACUCCCCCCAUCUCCACCA
rnacentral:tmRNA from 1 species